AGUGAACGCUGGCGGCAGGCCUAACACAUGCAAGUCGAACGGCAGCACAGCCCCGCAAGGGGUGGGUGGCGAGUGGCGGACGGGUGAGGAAUACAUCGGAAUCUACCCAGUCGUGGGGGA
rnacentral:rRNA from 1 species